UACGAAGGGGGCUAGCGUUGCUCGGAAUCACUGGGCGUAAAGCGCACGUAGGCGGACUCUUAAGUCGGUGGUGAAAUCCUGGAGCUCAACUCCAGAACUGCCUUUGAUACUGGCAAUCUUGAGUCCGGAAGAGGUGAGUGGAACUCCUAGUGUAGAGGUGGAAUUCGUAGAUAUUUAGGAAGAACACCAGUGGCGAAGGUGGCUCACUGGUCCGGUACUGACGCUGAGGUGCGAAAAGCGUGGGGAGCAACAGG
rnacentral:rRNA from 1 species